rnacentral:sRNA from 1 species
CCGAGCGCAGCGAGACAACGUUGCGAACGCAACGGCCCGAAGGGCGCGUCCCGCAGGGGCGCGUAAUCCUCUCUCGCCGACCA